GACGAACGCUGGCGGCGUGCUUAACACAUGCAAGUCGAACGGUAAGGCCCUUCGGGGUACACGAGUGGCGAACGGGUGAGUAACACGUGGGUGAUCUGCCCUGCACUUCGGGAUAAGCCUGGGAAACUGGGUCUAAUACCGGAUAGGACUCCGGACUGCAUGGCAUGGGGUGGAAAGCUUUUGCGGUGUGGGAUGGGCCCGCGGCCUAUCAGCUUGUUGGGGGAGUGAUGGCCUACCAAGGCGACGACGGGUAGCCGGACUGAGAGGGUGACCGGCCACACUGGGACUGAGAUACGGCUCAGACUCCUACGGGAGGCAGCAGUGGGGAAUAUUGCACAAUGGGCGCAAGCCUGAUGCAGCGACGCCGCGUGAGGGAUGACGGCCUUCGGGUUGUAAACCUCUUUUAGUAGGGAAGAAGCGAAAGUGACGGUACCUGCAGAAAAAGCACCGGCUAACUACGUGCCAGCCGCCGCAGUAA
rnacentral:rRNA from 1 species